rnacentral:rRNA from 1 species
UUCAACAACGGAUCUCUUGGUUCUGGCAUCGAUGAAGAACGCAGCGAAAUGCGAUAAGUAAUGUGAAUUGCAGAAUUCAGUGAAUCAUCGAAUCUUUGAACGCACAUUGCGCCCUCUGGUAUUCCGGAGGGCAUGCCUGUUCGAGCGUCAUUACACCCCUCCAGCCUCGCUGGGUGUUGGGCAUC